UCUUUUGUGUAAAUAAAAUUAGGCUUUGACUUCUUCUUUACUUUUAAGCCUGUGAUUGUUUUUCACUUAAAAAAAUAAAAAAAGAGGCCUGCUCUGCGGGGCGCCAGUGCCCUCCUGCCCUGCCUGGCCGGUGCCCCUCGCACCCUUGGCGGGCCCUGCACUUCUCGCCCGCCCUGAGGGCAGGCGGGGCCCCCAGGCAGGCAGGCAGCCAGGCAGGGGCGGGGCAGUGCCGAUAGGGCAUGUGGGACUGCAGUUCCUGGUGAUCGCAGAGCCCGCCCCUGCUCCUGCUGCUCAGGCGGCUGCACCACCAGCUCCCCGUGCCCUGGAGCCAGGUCCACAGGAAGCUGCAGCCUGGUCACCGAGGAACUCUGGCAGCCGCCCUGAGCACGCUCAACCCCAACCCCACAGACAGCUGUCCCCUCCACCUGAACUGUGCCACAUGGCUGCCCUGCCCUCCAGAGUGAGCCGGCACAACAGCUGGGCAGCCGCCCACUGCAUCACUGGCACAUCACUGGCUUGUGCGCACCUGCCUGCCCCCGGAGUCCAGCGGUGCAUUCUCACGCUCUGCGAGCAGGCCGAUGUCUUUGCCUCCGCCUGGGCCCUGGCCUGGGCCUCCCGCUGUCCACCCACAGCUCAGGUGGCUCGCGCAGCAGGGAGAACACCGUCAGGGUGGAGUUCUUCCUGGUAUGACAAGACAAUGGGCUGGUGGAAGUGCCCACGUCGCAAUGCUUAGCGAACGCCACAGAAGGUGUGCGGCUGGCGGCCCGCAUCGUGGAUACGCCCUGCAGUGGGAUGAACACAGGCACCUUCCUCGAGGAGAUUAACAAAGUUGGAAAAGAGCUGGGGAUUGUUCCGACCAUCAUCUGGGACGAGGAGCUGAAUGGGAGAGGAUUUGGAGGACUCUGUGGAGUUGGCAAAACUGCUCUCCGCCCCCAGCUCUGGCUGUCCUCAGCCACACCCCAGGCGGAGCCACGCGGACCAUCGCCUGGGUGGGCAAAGACGUCCUCUACGACACUGGGGGCCUCAGCAUCAAAGGGAAGACCACCGUGCCCAGGAUGAAGCGGGGCUGCGAGGGCGCUGCGGCCGUCUUGGGGGCCUUUAGAGCUGCCAGCAAGCAGGGUUUCAGAGACAGCCUCCAUGCUUGGCCGAGAACGCAGUGGGACCCAGCGCUAGAGACCCGAUGACAUCCACCUGCUGUGUACGCAGGAAAGAUGGUGGAAAGUAACAACACGGACACCGAGGGCAGGCUGGUGCCGGCAGGCGGCGUGCCCUCCGCCUGCAAGGACCUGGGGGCCGACAUCAUCCUGGAUAUGGCCACGCUCACCCGGGCUCAAGAAAUUGCCGCAGGGAAGUACCGCACCACGGUGCUCACCAACAGCGCUGAGUGGGAGGCUGCCUGCGUGAAGGCCCGCAGGAAGUGCGGGGACCUGGUGCACCCGCCGGGCUACUGCCCCGAGCCGCGCUUAAGCAGCUCACCUCGGCCUGACAUGAAGAAGUCGGUGGCGGACGGAGACAAUAGCCCCAGCUCCUGUGCUUGCCUCUUGAUCGUCUCACACCUUGGCUUCGACUGGCCUGGGGUCUGGGUCCACUUGGACAUCGCCACACCAGUGCUCGCCGGCCAGCAAGCCACAGGCUUCGGUGUGGCCCUCCUGCUUGAGCUCUUUGGCUGUGCAUCCGAGGACCAUCUGCUGAACCUGGUGUCCCCACUGGGCUGUGAAGGGGAUGUACAGGAGAGGCACAUGGGGAGGGACUCGAAGAGACACAAGCUCAUGUGACAGCCUGGCUGACCUCAGCUCUGCCCCUGUGACACAGGGCUCUUUUAUCUCACUUCGCACUGAUUAUUUUUAAGCAAUUGAAGAUUAUUCCUUAAAAAAUUGGUUUUUUAUUUUUUUCCAAACAAUGACAAACUUUUAUUGAGAAAAUAGAAGUCUGUUCUUUCAUUUGACCAUUUCCAAAGAAUCAGCCCAUCCUGGGUAGCCCACACGGUGGCUAUUCAAAGGUACUGAAAACUGAGGUAUUUGGUCACUAUUACCCAGCAAGAAACUCUUCACAGGGUUAGGCUCCAAGUCCUUUGUGCUGCUCUUGGUCAAUCAGUGACUGUAAUUUUCAUCCAGAAGCCAUCCAAGGUAAGCACGGGCUGAGCCGUCCUUAACUCAUACUCAGAUGAAACAACUUCCGCAGAAAGGCUGGUCCUCUCCAGUAGCCCCUCAGCAUCAUAUUCCAGUACAGGAAAGGGAUCAGGUCAGCUUUCAUGGGGCACAUGGACAGUCGCUCUUUGCUCUGAUCAAAGGGGAAGGUUUCUAGCCGCUGAGCAUUGUAGUCAGACUCUGCAAGAAUCACACAGUUGUAGCCGGUCACCAGUGGACAUGAUGUGUAGCCAUCAUACUUCUUCUUUGGUGCUUGAUUCUUCAUAAUCAGAGAAAUUGUUCUCUCAAGUAUCCCUGACUGGGCAGCUGCUGCAGCAGCAGUCUUUAACAUAGGAAGGUUGGCACAGUCCCCAAUUCCAGACACAUUUGGGUACCUCUUGUGCGGCAGAGUUUCUUUAUCCACAUCCACCCAGCCAGCAUCAGCCACAGGACUGGUCUUGUGGACAUCUGGUGGACUCAUGGGUGGUGUGACAUGAAUCAUUUCAUAUGAAAUCACGUGGGUCUCCCCAGGUUUAUUCAGGUUCUCAAAAACAGCCUCUUGUUUCUCAGCUCAGUCUUAAGUGAGGUUUUGCUUGCAGUUAAUGGUGAUAUUCCUCUCCUGGAUAAUCUCCUGCAGGGCAUCUGCAUACUUCUUAACCCCCAGAAUUCCUCCAAGAGAAGUGUUAAAAAUGAUAUUGGCCUUGGAUUGCUUCCCCACCUUCCUGAAAUAGGUUUCUGACAAAUACACGAUCUUCUGGGGGGCUCCAGCACACUUCACUGGAGUAUUUGGGAAGGUAAAGACGGGCACUGCCCUCCUUGAAGUCCUGCAGAGCUUUCCACGUCUUCUCUACAGUCUUCACUGAAUAAUGAGAUCCUAUUUUGGGAUGCACAAAAGCUUCAGGGAGCCUUUAAUCUUCUCAUAGUCCAGCUGGAUUCCAAGAGCAAUAGUAAGAUAUUUGUAGGAGAUCUCCUUGCCAUUGUCUGUGUGGAUGCAGUCCUUGUCUGGGUUCAGUUCAACCGCUCUAGCUUUGAUCCAUUCUACACUGGAUGGAAUCGCACUCUCUGUGGGACUACCAGAUGAGGACAACUGUUUGGCACCAGCACCCACCAGCGUCCAGAUUGGCUGAUAGAAGUGUCUCUUGCUGGGCUCAACAAUAGCCACCCACCUUCCUCUUCGUGUGAGCAGACAUGGUGAUCUCACCGCUGCCCCCACCCAGCACCAGCACUAGCACCUUGUAGUGGUUCCUGGCUGCACAGCUGGCCCCUGCGUGCAGCGGAACGGGGCUGGCCUGCUGAGAGCCCAGCUUGAGGAUGCAGGUAAAGAGCUGGGUGUGGGCCGACACCAAGGUGACCAGCAGGGACAUCUUCAGGUGGGAUCAGGCUAGGCCGAGCUGACUCUGAGCUGUCACUCUGGAUCCCUGUAGCUUCCAGUCUUGGAGGCAAGAGCGAGCCUUGUCUGCAUAGCACGGGUCAGGCUAACGGAGACCAGUGGGUGCUGUGGGUGGAGCCGCAGAGCGCUGCGGGCCCUUUGCAGCUGCGCUUUUCACCCUAGGCUUUCAACAGAGGUACUGUAUUGGCAGUUGCUGGAGAAGAUGUUUCAAUUGUUGCUUUUGACACUUGAUUGAGUAAAGAGUUUUCACUUCAUACCUGAGACAGCCCCAAAUGUUACAAGUUAAUAGACAAAACAGUCAUUGGAUGCAGUGGUGUUCAUGGAGACUGUCUUACCCUGACAAAGAUUAUUGAAGCAAGACUAAAGAUGUAUAAACAUUCCAAUAAUAAGGCCAUGACUACAGGGGCAAUUGCUACAAUGCUGUCUAUGAUCCUGUAUUCAAGGCGCUUCUUUCCAUACUGUGUUUACAACAUUACCAGUGGACUUGAUGAAGCAGGAAAGGGAGCUGUGUACAGCUUUGACCCGGCGGAGUCCUACCAGAGAGACUCCUUCAAGGCCAGAGGCUCAGCAAGUGCCAUACUGCAGCCCCUGCUCGGUAAUCAGGUUGGUUUGAAGAACAUGCAGAAUGUGGAGCACGUCCCACUCUCCUUGGAUAGAGCCACGCGGCUGGUGAAAGACAUCUUCACAUCUGCAGCCGAGAGGGAUGUGUACACGGGGGACACACUCAAGAUCUGCAUUGUGACCAGAGAUGACACUCAGGGGGAGACGGUUCCACUAAGGAAGGACUGAGCUGCGCCUUCGUGCAGAACUGGCUGUUGUUGUACCUUGGCACUGUUGACAAAUUUGUUUAUUAAAAAGACCUGAAGUGCUAAAAAAAAAAAAA